UCCCACAGCUACACCAACAAACUGAAUAACCUCAUCAGUUGGAUCCCACCUCUGUCCUUGCAUCCUCACUGCUCACAAAGGGUCCUGUGGUUGUAAAGGCUAAAGCUCACUCUAUGAGAUGCCGAGUAGGAAAUGUUAUUUUCUGGUGCCUGUCAUUUAAUUUGUCUGCACAUACUUCUUCUGAACAAUUUCUUAGCAACCUGUACAGUUCUCUGCACUGGACUCUCCCUUUUCAGAGUGGUGAAAAAAUGCUGCACAGGAAUCACAGAUACUGCUGCUGAGUUGGGGAUCACUGAAGCUUGAUGAGCUCCACACCAAACCUUGUGGAUCAACAGCACAGGAUCAAGAUGUUCUCAUCUUGGGAUACCAGAAUUCAGGGAGGUCUGGUCACUGUCUUUAAGUGGACUAGGAUGAAUGAAUAUUCUCUAGUUCCAUACAUGGCUGUUUUCAAAGGAGAAUGAAGAGUCCUUUCAUAACCUUGAACUGAGGCAUCUUCAUCCUGGGGAGAGAAUUUCCUCAAACCUUCAAUGUUUGAAUAAUUUGCAGUAGGAAUUGAUGCCACACUUCUUCCUUUAGGACAGAAAGGGCAGAAGUGGGCUCCCUUCCUUUUUCAGUGGCUUCCUUAUCCUCACUGAGGGUUUCCGUUCCUCCGCAGAAGGGACACAGAGCUCAAGUAGUGAGGAGUAAACACAGUCACAGAACAGCUGAUGUUGGAAGGAAAUUCUGGACAUCAUCUUGUCCGAAUUACCUGCUCAAGGAGGGCUGCCCACAACAAGGACUGUGUUCACGUUAAUAUCUUCAUGGAUGGAGUCUCCUCAACCUCCUGGGGCAACCUGUGCCAGGGCUUAGUCAUUGUCACAGUCAAAAUUGUUUCCUGAUGUUCAAAAAAACCUCCCAUGUUUCAAUUUGUGCCCAUCACCACUGGUCCUGUUACUGGGCCCCACUGAAAAGAGCCUGGCUCCAGCCUCUUUGUAUUUUCCCUUUGGGUAUUUGUACACAUCUGUGAGAUCCCAUUGAGCCUGCCCUUCUCUAAGCUGAACAGUCCCAGCUCUCUCAGCCUGUCCUCACAGGAGAGAUGGCCCAGCACCUUAACCAUGGUCAUGACCAUUUGUUGGACUCUCUCCAGUAUGGUCUAUCUCUCUGUACUGGAUCAGCCCAGAUCUGAACCCAGCACCCCAGGUGCGUCCUCACCUGUGCUGAUCAGAGGGACAGGAUCACCUCCCUUGUCUUGUUGGAAUUUCCUUGCCUAAUGCAGCCCAAGGUAUCGUUCACCUUCUUUGCAGCAAGGACACACUGCUCACUCAUGUCUGACCUGAUGCCCACCAGGACCCACAGUGGGUGGGACCCAUCCACCCAAUGCCAAACUGCAUUCCAGUCAGGUAGUCCCCCACCUGUCCCGGCUUUGCCCUUCGCCUUGUUAAAGCCGCUCUCCCUGGGUGUCCCCGGGUGCACACAGCGCCUGUGCCCAGCUGGAGGGGCAGCGGCAGCUGUGGAGACACGCACCCACCCGGGCUAGGGAAGCAGCUUGCAGAGGACGGAGAGGAAGACGCAGGGAGGCUCAGGAGCAGCGUCCCGCCGGGAACGCCCGCUGCCACCUCACCUCUGGCUCGCCGUGCGGCGUCGCGCCGCUGGGACAGC